AACUUUCAGCAACGGAUCUCUUGGCUCUCGCAUCGAUGAAGAACGCAGCGAAAUGCGAUAAGUAAUGUGAAUUGCAGAAUUCAGUGAAUCAUCGAAUCUUUGAACGCACCUUGCGCUCCUUGGCCAUUCCGAGGAGCAUGCCUGUUUGAGUGUCA
rnacentral:rRNA from 2 species